CCUACGGGGGGCAGCAGUGGGGGAUAUUGCACAAUGGGGGAAACCCUGAUGCAGCGACGCCGCGUGGGUGAAGAAGUAUUUCGGUAUGUAAAGCCCUAUCAGCAGGGAAGAAAGAAGACGGUACCUGACUAAGAAGCCCCGGCUAACUACGUGCCAGCAGCCGCGGUAAUACGUAGGGGGCGAGCGUUAUCCGGAUUCACUGGGUGUAAAGGGAGCGUAGACGGCCGUGCAAGCCAGGAGUGAAAGCCCGGGGCCCAACCCCGGGACUGCUCUUGGAACUGUGCGGCUGGAGUGCGGGAGGGGCAGGCGGAAUUCCUGGUGUAGCGAUGAAAUGCGUAGAUAUCAGGAGGAACACCGGCGGCGAAGGCGGCCUGCUGGACCGCGACUGACGUUGAGGCUCGAAAGCGUGGGGAGCGAACAGGAUUAGAUACCCGGGUAGUC
rnacentral:rRNA from 1 species